rnacentral:rRNA from 1 species
CCUACGGGCGGCAGCAGUGGGGAAUAUUGGGCAAUGGGCGCAAGCCUGACCCAGCAACGCCGCGUGAAGGAAGAAGGCUUUCGGGUUGUAAACUUCUUUUGACAGGGAAGAGUAACAGACGGUACCUGUUGCCUCAUCCACGGCUAACUCCGUGCCAGCAGCCGCGGUAAUACGUAGGUGGCAAGCGUUUUCCGGAUUUACUGGGUGUAAAGGGCGUGUAGCCGGGUUGACAAGUCAGAUGUGAAAUCCUGCGGCUCAACCGAUGAACUGCAUUUGAAACUGUUGUUCUUGAGUACUGGAGAGGCAGACGGAAUUCCCGGUGUAGCGGUGAAAUGCGUAGAUAUCAGGAGGAACACCAGUGGCGAAGGCGGACUGCUGGACAGUAACUGACGGUGAGGCGCGAAAGCGUGGGGAGCAAACAGGAUUAGAUACCCGAGUAGUC